UCGACUUAAGAUUCACAUCACUUAAAUUGAUUCCUUGAAAUUGGUUAACUCUGGGUUUAUCAAAAAUUACUUGUUUCAAACUGACACGACAACCAAACGUCUUCGAAAAGAAACUUUUCAAAGUACAACAAAAGUCACAUUUUUCUAAACCCUUAACAAUCGAUAAUGGAUAGGACUCACACUAGUAAUCAGAACAUUUCUCUUAAAACUUCAUUAUUGGUCUUUGCAAAGCUCACCCAAACUUUAGUAAACUAGGUAACUUGGUUAGUGGUAGGUAAUGUGACACACCAGAUUCGGCCGUAACGUCUAGGCCGAGUUUGUGGUGUUACAUUUAGUGGUAUCAAAGCCCGGUUGCAACAACUCAACUGUGGAUCGGGUCCAAAAAGGUUUUCAAAACUUUAAGCCUAAAGAGGGUAUUUUUGGAAAAAUCUGACUUUUGAAAACAAAUUUUCUGGUUAAAGGAGAUAAAUUUUCAAACUUGGUUUCUUUAAAUCAAAUGUUUGAGAAAUGGAUUUUAAAAAGGCCUAAAUCUUUUGCGUUUGUCUGAAAUCUGAUAAGGUGGCACACUGAAUCCUCGGCACCAAGUCUGUAAGUAUCUUUCUGCUCUAUAUAUAUACUGUACUGUACUAAAAAUAAUAUUGUAGAUAGUAUUGAGCCUUAGAUGUAGUACUAUAGAUAAGGUAGUAUUAAGGCUACAAAACUAAGACUGUAGAGUAAACUAAGCCCUAGGAAACUGAGACAGUAGCUAAACUGUGAUUGCGCAAGAACAACUCUAAAACUUUAUAUGUUCAUAAGAUACUCUGUAAUAAACAAUUGAAACAGUAAACUAAUGUCAUAAAAUUCGUAAUCAGAUAAAUCGAUAUGAGUACGAGAGCUGCUUAGGGAAGAGUCCGUGGUCGAGGUCGAGGUAGAGGUAGUACUCAAGCUGGAUCUUCACCCUCUGAACACAUGUCAGCUGGUGAGGCACGACCACCACCAGUGGAUGAUAAUGGGCCAUACGAUCGGGCCGCAGGGACGACGCUUUGUCCCAGGCCAUGUUGAGAGUUUUGGAAAGGGUGGCCGGAGCUGAUGUCGGGCCCAUGAAUAGGGGGUCCAUUUCUGAGCGACUCCGGGCCAACAGAGCAGAGGUUUUUAGGGGUGUAUCUAGAGUAGCCCCAAAUGUGGCUGAGUACUGGCUGGAAGCCACGGAGCGGAUUAUGGAUGACCUAGACUGCUCAGUGGAGUAGAAGUUAAAAGAAGCGGUGUCGUUGCGCGGGAUGAGGCGUAUCAGUGGUGGAUCACUGUGAGAGAAGGUACCCCAGCUGAAAGGGUAACAUGAGAGUUGUUCAAGCAGUCCUUCAAGGCGAAAUAUGUCGGAGCUAGCUAUGUGGAUGCACGAAGAAAAGAAUUCCUGAACCUGACCCAGGGUAGUAAAACUGUUGCUGAAUAUGAGGCAGAGUUUCUGCGAUUGAGCCGGUACGCUAGUGGCAUUGUCUCCACCGAAUAUGAGUGCAGUGUUCGUUUUAAGGAUGGCCUCAGGGAUGAGUUAAGGGUGCUGAUAGCUCCGCAGAGAGAGCAUGAUUUUGCUGCACUGGUAGAGAAGGCUAAGAUAGCCGAAGAGGUGAAGCAAGCCGAAUGAAAGAACCGCGUAGGGAUCGAAACUAAUUCAGGAGGGAUGCUAGACCAGCUGGUGCUGCAAACCAAAAUGUUAAGAGAGCUAGGAUGGAGGAACCAGUUCGAGUAGUUCCGGUGAACACAGUUAGACCAUAAGCUUGUGGAGAUUGUGGCAGAGUGCAUCUGGGGAAUGCUGGAAGCGUACUGGGGCUUGUCUUGUGGGUCAAACGAACAUAGGAUCAGGGAUUGUCCUAGGAGGCCAACCCAGACUCAAGUGGUUGAACAAGGGGCUGUGCAACUAGCGCGAGGUGGACCGCUGCCACCGAGAGGUCGUGGACAAGGUCGCGGUGGCAAUAUCUAUGGACGUGGGGCACCUGGCGGGGUGCUGUUAAUGCUGAGGCUCGUCAGCCAACUUUGGUAUAUACUGCUCGUCACCGCGAGGAGGGUGAUGCACCUGAUGUCAUAACUGGUACGUUUUUUAUCUCUGGCGUACCUUAUACUGCUCUGAUAGAUGUGGGGUCAACUCAUUCGUAUGUUGCAUGUGACAUUUCUGGGGCAUUGGGUGUACACUUUGAGGAGACUGUGUGUGGGGUAACUGUGAUAAGUCCUUUAGGUGACUCGGUUAAGGUAGAGAAACUCUUUAGGGAGGUUCCUUUAGAGACUCAAUGUAGGAUUUUCUGUGGAGACUUGAUGGAGUUAUCGUUCGGAUAAUUCGAUUAAAUCCUAAGGAUGGACUGGUUGACCAAGCAUAGGGCAACUCUGGAUUGUGCAGCUAAGAGGAUAGUGUUAAGGACUGUCGAGGAUGAAGAGGUAAUGAUUAUUUGAAAACGAAGAGAUUACAUGUCCAAUGUAGUAUCGGCUUUGGGGGCUGAGAAACUGAUGUGUAAGGGAUGCAAGGCAUAUUUGGCUUUUGUAAGCCAAGCUGAAACUGAGGAUCUGACUGUGGAGACAGUCAGAACUGUUAGAGAAUUUCGAAAUGUUUUCCCAAAAGAGCUUCCUGGAUUACCUUCGAACCGAGAAGUCGAGUUUGGAAUCGAUUUGCUGCCUGGAACAGCUCCAGUGUCCAUCGUACCCUAUAGGAUGGCACCGAAGGAGUUACUGGAACUGAAUGCUCAAAUCCAAGAGUUGUUGGAUAGAGGCUUCAUUAGACCGAAUGUGUCUCCAUGGGGAGAACCAGUCCUGUUUGUGAAGAAAAAAGAUGGGACGAUGCGUAUAUGCAUCGAUUAUCGCCAGUUGAACAAACUGACGAUAAAGAACAAAUACCCACUGCCUAGAAUUGACGAUCUAUUUGACCAACUUAGAGGAGCUUCAGUAUUUUACAAGAUUGACCUUCAAUCUGGAUACCAUCAGCUAAGGGUAAAGGAAGUGGAUAUUCAUAAGAUAGCAUUCAGAACUCGAUAUGGUCAUUACGAGUUUCUGGUUAUGCCAUUUGGGUUGACAAAUGCACUUGUAACUUUCAUGGAUCUGAUGAAUCGAGUAUUCCAACCUUACUUGGACCGAUUCGUGGUCGUUUUUAUCGAUGAUAUUCUGGUAUAUUUGGACACUGAGGAGAAGCAUGAUGAGCAUCUACGUAUUAUGCUGCAAGUGCUGAGAGAGCAAUAACUUUAUGCGAAGUUUAGUAAGUGUGAAUUCUGGUUGCGAGAAGUGACUUUUCUGGUCAUGUGGUUUCUACCGAAGGAAUUAGAGUGGAUCCUCAGAAAAUUGAGUCAGUUUUGGAAUGGAAACCACUGAAGUCAGUAUCAGAAAUUCAGAGUUUUCUGGGUCUGGCAGGCUAUUACAGAAGGUUUGUAGAAGGAUUUUCUCUGAUUGCUGCACCAUUGACUAAACUAUUAAGGAAAGGAGUAGCAUUUGUCUGGACUGAAAAACAGCAGAAAGCUUUUGACCAGUUGAAAAAGGUAUUGACUGAUGUGCUAGUGUUGAUUCAACCAGAGUCUAGGAAGGACUUCACUGUGUACAGCGAUGCGUCGCAUGUAGGGUUAGGAUGCGUACUGAUGCAAGAGGGUAAGGUGGUCGCUUAUGCUUCGCGACAGCUUAAGCCUCAUGAAGCGAACUACCCUACGCAUGAUUUAGAGCUAGCAGCAGUGAUCUUCGCGUUGAAAAACUGGAGACAUUACUUAUAUAGAGAAAAAUGUAUUAUAUACACAGACCAUAAAAGCCUAAAGUAUCUGUUGACUCAGAAGGAGUUAAACCUUAGGCAACGAAGAUGGAUAGAGUUUCUUAAGGAUUACGACUGUUCGAUUGAGUACCACCCAGGUAAGGCUAAUGUGGUGGCUAAUGCUUUGAGUCGAAGCGUUGUUGCUAAUUUGAGAGCCUUGUUUGGACGUUUGAGUCUGUUCGAUGAUGGAAGUCUAUUGGCAGAAUUGCAAGUGAGGCCUACUUGGACUGAACAGAUUAAAGAAAAAUAGUUGAAGGAUGAUUCGUUAGUUCUUCGGUUUUGGCAAGUUAAGAAUGGUGAGAAUGAGGAUUUUAGACUAAAUACUGACGGAGUUCUGUGCUUUCGUGGAAGAGUUUGUAUUUCGAAAGACCCUGAAUUGAGGCGGUCAAUUCUAAAAGAGGCUCAUGGUGGACCUUGUGCUAUGCAUCCUGGAGGAAAUAAGUUAUAUCGAGACCUACGAGAGGUGUACUGGUGGCCUGGACUAAAACGAGAGGUGACUAAAUUGGUUGGGAAAUGUCUGACGUGCCAACAAGUUAAGGCCGAGCACCAAUUGCCUUCUGGAUUACUGCAACCGGUGAAAAUUCCACUAUGGAAGUGGGAGAGAGCAACUAUGGACUUCGUGAGUGGGCUACCUUUGACACCCACCAAGAAAGAUUUUGUGUGGGUAAUUGUGGAUAGGUUAAUGAAAUCUGCCCAUUUCAUACCUGUUCGUACUGAUUACUCACUGCAAAAGUUGGCCAAGUUGUAUGUGGCGGAGAUAGUGUGACUGCAUGGGGUGCCAGUGUCGAUUAUUUCUGAUGGAGACCCUAGGUUUACAUCUCGGUUCUGGCAGAAGUUGCAGGAGGCAUUGGGUAUACGAUUGGAUUUCAGUACUGCUUUUCACCCUCAGACAGGUGGACAGUCGGAAAGGGUUAUUCAAGUUUUGGAGGAUAUGUUAAGAGGUUGUAUCAUUGAUUUUCGUGGUAGUUGGGAGGACUACUUGCCAUUGGCAGAGUUUGCGUACAACAACAGCUACCAAGCAAGUAUUCAGAUGGCUUCAUAUGAGGCACUUUAUGGGCGAAGAUGUCGUACACCUACGUGUUGGACAGAGUCGGGUGAACGACAAGUGCUUGGAUCGGAAUUAGUGGCAAAUACUGAAAGUAAGGUUAAGUUGAUAAGAGAUCGAUUAAAGGAGGCAUCUGAUAGACAGAAGUCGUAUACAGAUCUAAAGCGUAAAGAGAUUGAGUUCACUGUUGGGGAUAUGGUUUUCUUGAAGGUUUCACCUUGGAAGAAGAUCUUGAGGUUUGGCAAGAAAGGCAAACUGAGUCCGCGGUUUAUAGGGCCUUAUCGGGUUCUUAAACGGGUAGGGCCAGUAGCAUAUCAGUUAGAGUUACCAUCGGAGUUGGACAGAAUCCAUGACAUCUUUCAUGUGUCCAUGUUGAGACGAUAUUGAUCGGAUCCUUCACAUGUUGUGCCAGUGGAGGAGAUUGAAGUAAAGACUGAUUUGACCUUUGAGGAAGAACCCGUGCAAAUUUUAGAUCGAGAAGUUAAAGUUUUAAGAAGGAAGUGGGUUCCAUAGAUGAAAGUACUGUGGCAUAAUCAUGGAAGGGAAGAGGCUACUUGGGAGUCAGAAGACACUAUGCGUCAACAAUACCCUCAAUUAUUUGGAUCAGGUAUAUUUCGAGGCUGAAAUUUUUUUAAGGGGGGUAGAGUUGUAACGCCCUGAUUUUCGGGAUUUUCUGGGUUUCUGUGAUUUUUGGUAAAUUUUGAAAUUUUGGUGUUCUAAAUAAUGGAAUUGUGUUUAAAUGUGUUAAUGGGCCUUUAGAAGGCCCAAGCCUAAGUUAAACACGGUAAAAUAUCAAGGUUGGAUUUUCAGUGAAUAGGAGACUUGAUUAAAUGGGCUUUUAAGAAAAACUUUGUAAAUUACGACAAAAAUAAGGCCUUGGUAAAGUGACAAGGUGGCACCACUAAGUUCCUAAAAAAAUGGCGUCUGGGAAGGAAUUAAAGGUCCAGGGUUCAAGUUGCAAGGUAGGCAUAUUAUUACUUUUUAAUUUUAGGCAUGUGCCGGGCAUGUGAUCACUUAAGUGAAUUUCGGCAAGGGCCUUAGGGAGGUUGGGCCGACUGUUUUAGUUGAUAUUAGGGUUAGGUUCUUUUCUUUUUCUUUCUUGGAGAAUUAGGGUUAGCCACCUGAAAGCUUUUACUGUCAUUCAUCCUUUUUGAGUUCUCACAAAAACCGAAAAAGCAAAUUCCUUCUCCUUGGUGCCAAUUUCUUCUUCCUCUCUUUUUCCUCUAUUUUCUUUCUUCCUUUUUUCUUUUUCUUCUAGCCAAAACUUUUGAUCACCUUACUCACCUCCUCUGUCAAUCCCAUCCUCCACAAAACCUCCAUAGUCGAUUGCAUAAAAGCCGAAAUCCCGAAAACUCACUUCUUGUGCUGAUUACUCCAAGCCAAAAUCCUUCAGUUAUUUUUAUUCUUUUUAAUCAAAUUUCAUCUUCUCUAAAGCCUUAGUAUCUGUCGACAACAUUACUUCAAAGUUAUAGCCUCAAAUCGUCAUCUUCUUCAUCACUUAAAAAGCCGAAAUACCAUAGAUUUAGGGACUUAUAGCCGAAACUUCAGAUCUCCUGGAUCCGAGUUCUACUAUCGUUUAGAGGAUAGAUCUGCAUCAGAUCUGCAUAGAAUCAAAGAGGAAGAAGUGGUAAGUGCUCAUCACCUCAGAUCUAGUCUUAUUUUACAAUUUAGAAAAGCCGAAGUCCCUAAAAUCUAGGGAGGCUGUCGAUUUCGGCAUAGGGCUUCAAGGGUAUUUAACCGACGAUUUCUUUUGGUGAUUAGUGUCUUCUAGAGGUUUGAUCGAAGGCUUGGAUCUUUGGAACAACUAGACUUAGAUCUAGUCAUCAGUUUUUGGCAAAAAGGUAAGAUUCUAAAGGCUUUAGAGGCAUGGUUCGAAUAUGGGUUGCUGAAUAUUGGGAUUGGUUGUUGUGGGUUGCAAUCUAAGAAUUGUGGUAAUCAAUUGUAGGACAUCGUAAGGGAUCUCAGUAGCAGUCGUCGUGAAACAGGUGUGUAUCGAACACCCUCUCAUAGUUCAAUUUGGCAAAAGCCGAAAUGCCGAAAUUCCAGCAUUUAGUGGGCUUGUGAGUGUGCGAGUGCUCCCAAGACGUUUAGAAAUCAUUAAAUCUGAAAUCGAAAGUGGUAAGUUAGUUAUGUGUGAAGUUUCGUGCACUUCGGUAAUUGGGCCUCGAUAGGCUAAAACUGGGCCCAAUUGGCUUACGGGCCCAUACAGGUAAAUAAUAAAAAAUUAAUAAGAAUAUGUAUAAUAUAAAAAAAAUAGGCAAUAAGUAUGUUUUGUUAGACUGUAGAAUCGAAACUCCUUAAACCGGUAAACUGGUCAUAAAACUUAUAUUAAAUGGGCUUAAAUUGCUAAUGGACACUGUAGGGCCCAUUAGGGGUUUUAGGGCCCAAUGGCUAAAAUUGUGAAGUUGAGAUAAAUAAAUUACUGCGAUGACAAAUGGGCUAGUAAGGACCGUAACAUUCAUAAGAACCCUUAAAACUGAUAAAAUUACUGAAAUACCUUUAUAGGUGGAAAGUUUACAGUUUUAAUCCAAGAAGCAAAAUUACUGAUAUACCCCUAGGGUUAAGGUUGACCUGAAUACAUGUUUGGCUGUUACUAUUUACUGUAGGCCAUGUUAUUAUUAUUUGAUGCAUGGGACUGGGUUAUUGAUGGAGGAAGUACUGAAAGUGGCUUGACCACGUACUGGAGGCUUUGCCUCAGCUUACUGAUAUCUGAGCAGCUAUGCUGCAACUGUGGAGUGUAGGGCUGGGUGGGUUGAGCUAUUCCCCACAUGGAGUGGAGGGCUGGUACGGGUGGAGUGUAGCAGUUGGUUAUAGGCUGGGUUAGGCAUGCAUACACGAAUAUGUCUUUUCUGUUCUGGAAUGGGCCUACGGGCCAUACUGUUAUCUGAAAAGGGGCUAAGGCUCAGUUUAUCAUAUUCUGAAAAGGGCUUCGGCCCAGUACCUGUGGUUAUCUGAAUAGGGCUUAGGCCCAAUGGGCUUGAGCUGACUUGGGCUUUGGAUGGGUUUUCCAUAUACACAGAGUUUUCCAAACUCACCCCCUUUCUCUUCCAUCCUCGCAGGUGAGCCCUAGUUGGUGGACUUGGAGCUGGGCGGGAUUCAGAGUGGCCACGAAGAUUAAAUCUUUGGUUUUAAAUAAGUUUCAAGUAGCUUCCUUUUAAAUUUCGCAUUUAUUUUUUAUUAUUUCUGUGUUGGUAAAAGUUGUAAUAAGGCCGCUCUAUUAUUUUUAUUUUGGGUUUUUAAAUUACUUAAAUCGUUUUCGACUUGAGAUUCACAUCACUUAAAUUGAUUCCUUGAAAUUGGUUAACGCUGGGUUUAUCAAAAAUUACUUUUUCCAAACCGACACGACAACCAAACGUCUUCAAAAUGAAACUUUUCAAAGUACAACAAAAGUCACGUUUUUCUAAACCCUUAACAAUCGAUAAUGGAUAGGACUCACACUAGUGAAUCGGAACAUUUCUCUUAAAACUUCAUUAAUGGUUUUUGUAAAGCUCACCCAAACUUUAAUAAACUAGGUAACUUGGUUAGUGGUAGGUAAUGUGACACACCAGAUUCG
rnacentral:lncRNA from 1 species